GACGAACGCUGGCGGCGUGCCUAAUACAUGCAAGUUGAGCGAUGAAGAUUGGUGCUUGCACCAAUUUGAAGAGCAGCGAACGGGUGAGUAACGCGUGGGGAAUCUGCCCUUGAGCGGGGGACAACAUUUGGAAACGAAUGCUAAUACCGCAUAACAACUUUAAACAUAAGUUUUAAGUUUGAAAGAUGCAAUUGCAUCACUCAAAGAUGAUCCCGCGUUGUAUUAGCUAGUUGGUGAGGUAAAGGCUCACCAAGGCGAUGAUACAUAGCCGACCUGAGAGGGUGAUCGGCCACAUUGGGACUGAGACACGGCCCAAACUCCUACGGGAGGCAGCAGUAGGGAAUCUUCGGCAAUGGACGAAAGUCUGACCGAGCAACGCCGCGUGAGUGAAGAAGGGUUUCGGAUCGUAAAACUCUGUUGGUAGAGAAGAACGUUGGUGAGAGUGGAAAGCUCAUCAAGUGACGGUAACUACCCAGAAAGGGACGGCUAACUACGUG
rnacentral:rRNA from 1 species